rnacentral:rRNA from 1 species
AACCUGGUUGAUCCUGCCAGUAGUCAUAUGCUUGUCUCAAAGAUUAAGCCAUGCAUGUCUAAGUAUAAACUGCUUUAUACUGUGAAACUGCGAAUGGCUCAUUAAAUCAGUUAUAGUUUAUUUGAUGGUACCUACUUACUCGGAUACCCGUAGUAAUUCUAGAGCUAAUACGUGCGUACAUCCCGACUUCUGGAAGGGAUGUAUUUAUUAGAUAAAAGGCCGACCGGGCUUGCCCGACUCGCGGUGACUCAUGAUAACUUCACGAAUCGCAUGGCCUCGCGCCGGCGAUGUUUCAUUCAAAUUUCUGCCCUAUCAACUUUUGAUGGUAGGAUAGAGGCCUACCAUGGUGGUAACGGGUGACGGAGAAUUAGGGUUCGAUUCCGGAGAGGGAGCCUGAGAAACGGCUACCAC